rnacentral:ncRNA from 1 species
GGGAUACACCUGUCAAACAGUAACGCAGGUGUCCUAAGGCGAACUCAGGGAGGACCGAAACCUCCCAUGGAGCAGAAGGGCAAAAGCUCGCUUGAUCUUGAAUGG